UUUUUUUUUUAUGUUGUUUUGAACUUGUACUGUGUACGCUCGAUGGCUUGUCGCUUUGCGUGACGUGUAAAGUGAAAUUACCAAAAAGGAAAUGGGUAAAAAAUUAAUAAAAAAUAAUUAAAAAGUUGAGAAUGAGAUUAGGCAAUGGAGGAUUUGUGUUGUGCUGGGGGCGGGGAGACCAUCGCCGCUUGCUUUAGUUUAGUGAAAUGGGAAGGUAAGAGGUGCAUCGCAUCAUGAAAUGGUGGGGACCAUCUGGCCCAUCAGCAAUCAUGGCUUGAGGAUAAGAAUAAGACCAUCCAUUAUUUCUCGUGAAUAUGCUCGUGAAUCUUCCUUUGGAAGCAGAAGCCAUCGCACAAUUUGAGAUAUUUUUUUUUCAUGCUCAAGUAAUGAUUGUAAAAAAAUAUCUCAAAUUGUGCGAUGGCU
rnacentral:misc_RNA from 1 species